rnacentral:miRNA from 1 species
CCACCUGCUAUUUUGCUCGAUCC